GUCUACGGCCAUACCACCCUGAACGCGCCCGAUCUCGUCUGAUCUCGGAAGCUAAGCAGGGUCGGGCCUGGUUAGUACUUGGAUGGGAGAAACCUGGUGAAAAACGGCAAGGUUUCUGCGGAGG
rnacentral:rRNA from 1 species